GACGAAUGCUGGCUGCGUGCUUAACACAUGCAAGUCGAACGGUGAACCAGGGCUUGCCCUGGGGAUCAGUGGCGAACGGGUGAGUAACACGUGGGCAACCUGCCCCUCACUCUGGGAUAACUACGGGAAACCGGGGCUAAUACCGGAUACGACCUCGCGCGACAUCUCGCGAGGUGGAAAGAAUUUCGGUGAGGGAUGGGCCCGCGGCCUAUCAGCUAGUUGGUGGGGUAACGGCCCACCAAGGCGACGACGGGUAGCCGGCCUGAGAGGGCGACCGGCCACACUGGGACUGAGACACGGCCCAGACUCCUACGGGAGGCAGCAGUGGGGAAUAUUGCGCAAUGGGCGAAAGCCUGACGCAGCGACGCAGCGUGAGGGAUGAAGGCCUUCGGGUUGUAAACCUCUUUCAGCGGGGACGAAGCGAAAGUGACGGUACCCGCAGAAGAAGCACCGGCUAACUACGUGCCAGCCGCCGCAGUAACAC
rnacentral:rRNA from 1 species